rnacentral:rRNA from 1 species
GUAUCCUGGCUCAGGAUGAACGCUAGCUACAGGCUUAACACAUGCAAGUCGAGGGGCGAGCAGUGAACUUAGCUUGCUAAGUUUGAUGGGCGACCGGCGCACGGGUGAGUAACACGUAUCCAACCUGGCCGAUGACUCGGGGAUAGCCUUUCGAAAGAAAGAUUAAUACCCGGACUGGCAGUAGUUCUUUCCGCAUGGUAGAACUAUUAAAGAAUUUCGGUCAUCGAUGGGGAUGCGUUCCAUUAGGUUG